ACUAGCGAGCUAAUCAAUGACGAUCUCUUUAACAAGAUAGCUGACCAGCACAAGGAAGAGGAACGGCAUAAGCAGGAAGAUCGCCGAGGGAGAGAUUUGAAGAAAUUGCAUUAUUUUCAAAAGUGACUGGAGUUAAAAAUGUUAACGUGUGUGGAUCGAAAUCCAACCAAUACUCCACUAGGAGGCAGCAUUGUGGUUUCCACACCAUCAUCCGUCGCCAUCCGUUAUUUUUUGCAGGAAAUAUCUCCUUUGUCUGAAGGCAGAAUGAAGAAGCAAAGUAAAACACAAAGAGAACACAAAAAGGCAGAAAAAAAGAACGUACUCCCAAUGGACUCCCCUUCGGGGGAAGAGGAUCUAGAUUAUC